UCCUCAACUCUAAACCCGAAACCCUAAACUCUAAACCCUAAAUCUUAAAUUUUAAACCUUAAACCCUAAACCCCACCCCUUAACUCCAAACCCUAAUGUUUAGAUUAAUUAACUCUAUAAGUGUAUAUUUACUUCUUUUGAUAAAACAUUUAACUCUAUUUUGGUCAUUUUUAUUUUUAAGGUCUAUAUUUGUGACAAAAAAAUUUUUAUGUGUAUCCUAGGGAAUUUCUCUUAUUUAUAUGAAUAUUAUAACAGUAAUUACGAAAUUAAUCAAUACACUAAUUUUUAAAAAAUAUUUAAAAUUCUUAGUAAGAUUUUGUUAUAUUUUUUCUCAACAGAUUUUGUUAUAACUAAAAGUAAAAUUUAAAUUUACAUUAAAAAUGAUUUCUUAUUGAUAUACUUAUGAUUAAUUUUUUUAGGAAUAUUAUAUAUUUAAUCGAUUAAUGUAAGUAAUCAAGUAAAUAUAAUUAAUGAGAUGGACUUAGUAUGACUAUUUUAAUGGUAUAUAACAUAUGAAAAUAAUAUCAGUGUUUUGAAAGACGGAUUAGCCUUUGUUGAAAAUUUUAAAACAUUAAUCUAUGAUCGGACCAAGUAUGACUUUUCUGGAAAUAUUAAAAACAUUGGAUAUGUGUCCACAAAAGAUCGAAUUAGGCAUUGAUUGGUAGAGCAUUAGCAUUAGCAGUUUAGCAUUAUGCUCUACAUUAUCCAAUUAACAAUUGUUAGAAAAUCAUUUAGAAAAUCAUUUAUUAAAUGCUAAUGCUCUCUGGCCAAUGCUCUCAUAUGAAGCUCUAAGAAGAUCAUUUGCAUUUAUAAUUUAUAAAAUUAAGAAAAAUCUAUAAUUAAUUCAUUUAUUUUAUUUAAUAAUAUCAUAAAAUUAUUUUUAUAUCCAGAAAAUAAAAUUUAAUUUCUAAAAUUAAUUUACAAUAAAAAUAUUUUUUUUGUAAAAAUAGUAUUUCACAUUUAAAAUAUAAUAUAAUUUAUAUAAUUUAAUUUGUUUUAAAUGUGAAAAACAUAUUCUAAAAAAUAGAUAUUUUAAUAUUUUUUGAUAUAAACAUAAUUUUUAAAUUAUUAAAUAAAAUAUAUCAAUUAUAUAUCAUUUUAAUUUUAUAUGUUAAUAUAUUUAUAUAUAUAUAUAUAUAUUAGAAAUAUAUUCAUUAAAAAUAAAUAUAUUAUAUAUUAUAUAUUAAUUUUUAUAAUAAUUUUAAAUAACAUACUCAUACUGCUCUACCAAUCUUCUAAUUACACAGUUUAGCAAAAGCAUACAACUCCUGUUGCAUAUUACUUCUAUAGCAUACUGUUACUAUUAAUGCUAAUGUCCUACAAAUCAAGGUCUUAGGCAUGUAGACAUGUAGUUAAUGCAGCAACUUAGCGUGACACAUUAGGAAAAAAGAAGAAGAAAAUAGAUGGAAACAUGAAUGUUACUUACCUCUGUUAAGUUUUAGUAACAUUUAGAGGAUUACCGGAGUGGUUAAAAGUUAGUGACUUUUGCUUAGAUGACAAUCAAUGGUAAAAAUUUUAAAAAUUAUUAUAAUUUGAUUAGACAAUGACUUUUCAUUUUUAAUUAUCUUAGUUAGAUCUAAAAUACAAGAUAGUGUGGAACUAAUUAAUAUCACUUAUCAAAUAAUCUAUAAGAUAUUAAAAAUAAUAAUUGAUGGUAACUAACUGUCAAAAUUAUAGAAAUAGUGAUAAGGGUUGACAAAAAAUAGAGUAAUAAUAUUUGAUCAUUUCAUUUUUAUAUUUUUAAACUACAGAAAAUAAUGAAUAGAAAACAAAUUUAUAGAAAUCAAUAUAAUAAUUUCAUAUUCUUAUAUAAAACAUUAUAAUCAAAUAUGGAGUAGUAUAAUAAUUUUUAAUGUCUUAUGAUGUCCAUAUAUUCUUUAUAAAUCAUAUAAAGAUUUAAAACAUUUAUCAAAUCAUUCAUCAUGGCUUAAACAUAAUUUUAUCAUAACUUUAAAUUAUCUAUAAGAGUUAUUAAAUCAUUUAUAAAAUAAAAAUAUAAAUUAUAUAUUAAGUGAGAAGCUACUUAAGAGACAUUUACUUAUGUGUUAAUCACUGGUGAAAUCUUAAUAAUUUUUUGGUCGAUAAUUUUUAAUUUUACUUAUUUUAAUUAGAUGUAUUUCUUAUAUGUCGAUCUUUGGUGAAGUUUUAAGAAAUUAUUGUUGAUUUAAAAGUAAUAUUAUAAUUAGGGGUGUCAAAAUGGGUUGUAAUUAAUGGAUUGAUCCAAACCAAACCAACACAUGGUUCUAAUGAGUUAAUAAUUUGGAUAUUAAUGGAUUAAUGGUCUUUAAACCCGACCCGGAUACUGAACCGGACAACUUACCAGGUUGCUGGGUCAUUGGGUUGACCGCGGGUGAACCGCGGGUUAAAAAUGAAUUAAUUUUUUGUUAUUAGCAUUUUUGUUAUUCAAUGUUAAUAGGUUGAUAGUAAUUUCAUUGUGAUAUAGUAGAAUUUUUAAAUUUUUGUUUAUUAAUAGUAUUGUUAAUGAGUUAACCCAUUAAAACCACUAACUCAUUAAUUUAUAUGAGUUAUGGUUUAGUCCAAUCCAUUUAGUUAAUGGGUUGGAUUAACUCAUGAUCCAUAAACUGCUUAAUCCAUUUGGAUAUGGAUUGAUUUGAGUUAGUUUACCCAUUUUGACACCUCAAUAUAAAUGUUUGCUUUCAAGAUUGAACGGAUUAUAUUUAAUGGAAUAUUUGAGAACUUUGCAAUUAUAAAAUAUUUUGAAUUUGAGUCAAAGAGACUAUAGUAUAGUAAAUAAGGUGAUGUUGUGAUUGAAAAUCUAUAUAGUAACUGCAUGUAUAACUCCACUGAAUUUGUCAUUACUAAAUUUUGCAUCAAAUUUAUGAAAAUUUUGCAACUGAAAUUUAAUUUGCAUCAAAAUUAAAAGAGGUGAUAGAUAAGAUAGUUUAGUGAUUAUAAAGUGUUUUAAAUAGAUUUUUUUGGUUAACUGAUCAUAAAUUUAUUAAUCAUUUAAUCAAAUUCAUGUAAAAAUAUUUUAACUACUUAGACUAGUAUUAUUAAAUUAUCAGUAAAUCUCAUCUUCCAAUACUAAAAGUUCAUAUUCCUCAAAGGAGAGAGCUGACACAUCAGCCCAAAAAAUCAACCAAUCGUAUGCCUUUAACUUACCACGUCAGCUCACUCCUUUUGCUAACACAGAUUUCCACAAUUGUAUCGUGACUAUCGUCUCUUCCUCAAACGUUGUUCUGUGACUUUUCCUUUACACCCUUCAGCGGUUUAAGUUGAAGACAAUAUCUCUGCCUAUCGACCUCCCCACUAUAAGAUCAAUAACUGUACCAUUCAACACAAUAACCUCUUCCCUUUCCCCAACCUAACUAUAUAUAUGGUGAGAUUCAAGACCACAGUUCCUCACAUCGUCUUCCCCAAAGGCCAAAACACUGGCCUCAUUAAACUCCAAGGCUAAAGCACAACUAUGAUAUCAGGUCAACCAUUAAAGAAAAAGACAUCUGAUCAAGUUGUUGACGCAGACGACCUUCAGAUGGAUGAGGACGAGGAUGAUAAUGAGGAAGAUGGCCAAGAAGUAGAUCACCGAAAUAGAGCAAAAACCCGACAGUUACUGAAGAUGACUGGACUAUGCAUGACAGUAAUUCUUGGCCCGAUCAUCCUGUCAUGAUCUAGGUCUUCCUUGGAAACAACAAUGUUUGCGAUGUAGAAAACCAUGAGCUUCCUAGGCUGGUUUAUCUUCUCGUGAGACUUGGAUUUGACCAUCACAAGAAGGCUGGCGCCAUGAAUUCGUUGAUACGAGUCUUGGGGGUUCUAUCAGUUGUGCCUUACCUUUUGAAUGUCAGAAUGUGACACUACAUCUGCAAUAGCAAAACUCUAAGAGAAGCAAUGUGUUUCGUGGUGGCUUCUAAGUCGGGAAAUAAGUUUUGUUAUUUUCACUACCCUCAAAGAUUCGAUGGGAUCGGUAGACCCAACAGAUACAGUAAUGGCAGCGUUGUAUUCUUCGGCGCCACUCUCAACUACGGGACGGCACUGAUCACCACCUUCCUUCUCUUGAGUCAUAACCUAGGUUUUAGUAAUCUUAAUUGCACUCCCACUUCGGCACUGGUUUUGUUCCUACCAUUAGCUUCUCUUAAAGCAAACAGAACAAUAGCAUCGGUGCUGGAGCUUCGCACGAGCCACUGGAGAGAUUUUGUAAUGAGCACUUGAAAGUUGAGCGUGCUGAUCCAAAAACAAGGCUUUCUGAUUUUUGUUAUCCCCCACGACAAAGAAACAUUUCUUGCGCUCGGGCUUGCGACUCUUGAAAAAGUGUUUCUGAACAUCGCUAGACGGGGUGAAAUAGAAACUGCAACCACUGAAGCAACCAUGGUCACCCUCAAUAAAGAUUCUGGCAUCUCACAAAAAGAUACAGAUAAAGAUACCAGUGGGAGCCAGAUUUGUUGGGAUCCUUGACACCAAACGCAGAGAAUUUAAUUGGAGUAAUGGUUGAAGUUUACUGGCAACAAGAUGGGUCGGGAUAGAUGGCAAUAGUCCACAUCUUUCUUUUUUUUGGUCGUAAUGUUUAGUUCACAUCUUCACAUCGAUUUUUUUUAUUGUUCAAUGUGACAAAAGUAUCGUAAUGUAUAUGCAUGUUACAGACACAAGUCAGUGACUGAUUUAUUUGCUGACAUGUGAGCGACCCUUUUAUGAUAGGAUUUGUAUUUCUCGACAGAUAUUUGAACUUAUAGAAGAUGUCAAACAAUCUAACAAAAUAAAUUUAACUCUUUAAUUUUUUUUUUGAUAGCAAAAAAUUCACAGACUCAUAUUGAUUAUGUAAACCAAAUCGGCAACUCUGCAUCCAUGUGAACAACGAAAGACGACUGUCUUCUAGCACUGCGUACUAAGCUAUCCGCCCUUUGAUUCUCCGUACGACGGUACGAGGUACAUGAACAAUAUCUGAGUUGUGGAAACUCCUUCGUAGAAGCUUGAUGUCUUCCAGAUAACUUCCAAAUGCUGGUCAUUCUUCUCGUUCCGAAACUAUCUUCACCAAUUGAGAACAAUUCGUUGCAAAUGUAACAUGAAAUUGUCUUAAAUUCUUCAUACAUUCCAUUGCUCAAAUUAAAGCUUUCAUCUCCGAAUGGAGAGGUAAAAGACAUGCCCUUACAUUCCUUGCUCCUAAUAAACCAUCGAAUCCCGGUAAAGUACUAUAUCAUCCUUGUCCCGAGAAUAAUUUCUUAUCUUUCCAAGAACCAUCUGUAAAGCACCAUCGUCCUGAAGUUUGUAUCGUGGAUCUGACAUGUACAUGUUGUUCCCUUUUCUGACUAUUGAGUACAUGUGCCUCGGCCCAAAGUGUUGAUUCCAACUCUUUAAUUUAAUAGAUAAAGUAUAUAAGCUGCAUGAUAUUUUGAUAUUUUUCUCGCUAAAGUAUAUAAGCUGCAUGAAAUAUUUAAAUUUUUAUAUACUUUCUCUUUUUGUAUUUAAAUAUUAUUUUAUUGUUUUGGGUUUUGUUUUACUAUUUAUUUUAAUUUAUAUUAAAAUCUAAAAAAUAAAAUGGAUUAAUAAAAAUCUAAAAAAAAAGAAAUAUAAAGAAAUAUGUAUCAUCAUUUUAAAAAUACAAAAUAGUAGUAUUUUCCUCAUAGAUCUCUAAUGAUUUUAAAUUUAUAAAACUGAAGGGACAAAAGCUACUAAAAAGACAUUCUAACAAACAUGAGUAUACAAGUAGUUUUAAUAUUAGUCAGAAUUAAUAGUAAACAUUUUAUUUAAUAUUAUUGCAACAGACUAUUUUCGACCAUAUUAUUUAAAAAUCAGAGAUAAAUGGUUUUUUUUUGAUGAGAGAUAAAUGGUUAAAGGCAAGUUAUCUAAUUUCAUGAAAUCUAAUUUUAUGGUAUUUUCAAAUGACAAAAUACAUGCCUUAUAGACAAUCACAAAGUAUGAACGAUCGGACAACCAAAUCCUCGAUAAAAACAUCAACAGAAAAUAACUAAAUGUAAGAAAAAAAUAAUGAAAUUACCAUGUACAACUUUUAGGAGAAUUUUCAAUGGUCAAUAGUAAUUUAGAUUUUCUUCUUCUCUCAGGUUGUUGAUAGACUCAUAUGUUAUAUAUCUAAGUCGUAUUAAAAAUGAGAAUAUUAACCCCUUUUUUUUUUGACUGAAAUAUCAACCUUUUCUGCAUUACUAAUUAUGACACUUCUAAGUUAUAAUCAUUUAGUAUUAUGGUUAAGAUGAUUUUGAAAUGUGUAGAUCAUGGAGAAGGACUUCAAGUUCUACACUAUGAAGAAGGGUCAAAAAGUAUGAAUUUUGUUGAUAAGCUUAACACUAAGAAUGUGGAAGCACCGUCGCCUAUUGGUUAAAGUUUAAAGACUUCUACACCCAGGUCUGGGGUUCGAAUCCCAGACUUAUAGGAGGUCUAUGUUUCAAUUCCUAGAGAAAUCGAUUUAUUAAAACAAUUAUGCAGACUAUGGAAGAAAAACUUACAACUUCAAUAUAGAGCAAGUAAGUCCGGUCAGACAUGGAACUUCAUAGGAUGCCUCAGGUGAUGUAGUUAGGCGUAGACCCUCGUAAGACAUGUACUGUUGUCGGUUAUCGAAUCGUCUAUGUAAUCUUUUUCAUAAUUGUAAUAUCAUAAUAAAUUAUUGUUUAAAAAAGUUUAAUGCUAAGAAUAUAGGUCAUUAUUAUCAGGAGGAAAAUAAGGAAAUAGUGUAAUAUAAGUAGUUUCACUAUGUAACUAGAUGUUUUGCCCGCACAUGCGGGCAUAAUCGUUUUACUAAUAGUUAUUAAUAUAUUUCUUAUGAUUUAAACAUGACAAUAACUUAUUCUUUAUAUUCUUAAUCAUUUUAGUUUUCUUUAAUUUUUAUUUCGGUCUAAGUCUUCUUAGUACAAAGUAAAGCUAUAAAACUAUAAAACCAUGAAAGCAUAAUUACAUAACAAAUAUUACACACAAUAAAGUAAAAUAAGAAUGUGAACUUCUCUUUUGGACAACGAAGAAUGUAAACUUUUGGUCUCUCUUAAUCUACUUUGUAUUUUUGAACCAGAAAAAUGUAUUAAAUUACCAAAAAACAUUGAAACACACAAAUCCAAGUAAAAUAAAAUAAAUAAAAAGUAAAUAAAAAAUAAAGUUCGAUGAUAAUUUAGAAGAAAACUUAAAAGAACAAUUGAGAUAAUUAUAUUAUUUCAUUGGUUUACUUGAUAAAUAUAUACAUUGAGUUAUCGAAAUAUUUCAUAAGUUUACAUUUAAUAAACAAAAAAAUAGAAAAUGAUAGUUUUAUUAUUAUUAUAGUUAAUUAUAUAAUGAUAAAUCUAAUUAUUCAUUAAAAAUAUAUCUACUUUAGCCGUUUUAAAUAUUAAACCAUGAAACACAUGUUCAUAACAUGAUUACAUAAGCAACUCUCUAAACUUAAUAUCAAAGCAUAAGUUUUCUUAUAAAUUAAACAGUAAUACAACAUAUAAGUGACAUAACUGCCAUUAAAUAAUUUAGAAUAACUAAUCCAUAAUUCUAAACUGCAUGUAGCAAAACCGAUUUGCUUCCUAGUCUUUUAAACUCAAUGAAAGAAAGAAAAACAUAAAACUCCAACUAAACAGAAAACAAAUAUCGAAAG